GUGAUCUGCCUGCCUUGGCCUCCCAAAGUGCUGGGAUUACAGAUGUGAGCCACUGUGCCCGGCCAACCCUUGCUUUACUGAAGGUAAUAACUCAGAGGCAUUCAAUGGGAAGUCAAAAAGGAGAAAAUAUGUAUGAAUGUACACACAGUUGAUCCUCAUUGUUUGCAGAUAUCAUAUUUGUAAAUUUGCCUACUUGGUAAAAUUUAUUUGUAACCCCCAAAUCAAUACUCAUGGUUCUUUUUCAGUCAUUCACAGACAUGUGCAGUGAUGGAAAAUUUGCAUCAUCUAAUGCACAUGUUCCCAGCUAAACAAGGUGAUACUCUGCCUUCGUGUUUCAGUUGUCAUACUGUAAACAAGGUCCUUUUUGCAGUCCACUUAAUGCUAUGUGUUGGGGCUUUUUUGUUCCUGAUUUUACCGUUUAAAAUGGUGCCCAAGCCAUUGUGUAGAAGUGUUGUCUAUGGUUUCUAAAGGCAAGAUGUACCGUAUGAGAAAAUCUGUGUGUCAGGUAAGCUUUAUUCAGGCUUGAGUUAUAGUGCCAUUGGUUGUGACUUCUAUGUUAAUAAAUCAAAAGUAUAUAUUAAGUAAGGUGUCUUUAACAGAAACACACAUAAAGUGAGAUUAUAUAUUGAUUGAUUGGUGAAAAUGUUGUGACCAGAAACACAUAGGAACUUAACUCUUUUUUUCUCUAGGAGCAGUGGGUUCAGUGUUGGCUAAUGCAGUGUUCACCACAACUUUAUUGGACAUAACUAGUGCAGAUAAUUAGAAUCAACUGUACAUGUGACUAUAUUUAAACAAUAAAGAAAAAGCUAUCUUGGUUUAAUAUCAGGACAGGGCUUUAACCACAGAGGUCUAUUAUGUAAAGGGGUAAACACAUUGUUUUCAUUCCUCUUAGUUGAAAGGAAAGAACUCAGUUUUCAAGUACUGUUUGAGGAGAUAUACCUAAUCUAUUGGAAAGCUGUUUUUCUCAACUGGGACCCUUCUAACUGUAUCUUUUCUAGCUUCUCUGAAAUGAUAAGCCAGGGUUUAUUGGCUUCAAUGAAAUAUUGAAAGCUAAGUAGCACUAGCUUCAUAGGAUGUAGUGAAAAAUAACACAUGUUGAAAUCCACAGUCUUGUCACAGACCACCUUUGUUACCUUCCUCCCAUUUAUUGUCCUCAAGCCAAACUAAGCACAACUUUGAGCUGCAACAGCAGAUCCAACAACUACAUGGGGAUGGGAAGUGUGAGGAGGCAUCCUCCACAUCCAGGGCCCUGCUUGCAUCAUUCCAUUUGACUUUUGCUUUGCUCAAGCUUGGCGCUGUGUUGCCAGCAGCAAAUAUGCUGACUGAAAACUGUCACAACAGCAAUCAUUACAAUCCAGGAGUUGAGUUUGACUGGAACAUAUGUCUUCAAUUUUAAUAGCUCAGCUUCCCAGAUGCCCUAAAGGAGUAAUAUUGCCUGAGAAGGAGCUUUUCAUGUAAGAAUAAUUUGUGUUAAGUAGCUCAGUGAUCUGUUUGUUAAGUUACAGCUGACAGUUUGUUUAUAUUUCUAAAGGGGCAUGAUGAAUGGGGGAGAAGUUGAUGCUAAUUAGCCUAAAUUGUUCCUAAGAAUGUAGAGGGGUUUGCCAGUUUCAUUGUUUCUGUUUCUUUGCACAUUUUAAAUAAUUGAAUGGAGCUUAGACCAUUCAUCAUAAUUUCAGGCAAGAUGGAAAUAAAUGAAUUUAGCACGGGUCCACAUGUGUGAUGGAAGAUGUCACUUUAAAGGGCAAUUAAAUAAGACAUCAACUUGGGGCUAAAGCAGACUAUUUUAAUCCAUUUGUAUAAAAAUAUCAAACAUGAAAGUUUUCAUUUACUCCAUUAAUUAUCUUCAUCAUCAUAGGACACAGACCUUCUUUUUGAAAACCCACCUAUUCCCAUUAAAGAAGUAAUGGUGUUGUAUAAAAUUUGAGCCUUUGGCUUCUGGACAAAAGAUCCGUGGCCUUACUCUCUAAGACAGUCUCCUCCCCUCCCCUGAUGUCAUCAAAUGGCUUUGAGAAACCUGUUUGCUGUUGGGCUCAUUGCCUGACCAGGUGGAAAAUGAAAAAGGCAGCAGAAAUGUUUUUGAAAAUUGGAAUUCAUAUAGUAGUGUCCCUUCUAUAGUCAGAGCUAAUAAGGUUCCAGUAGAACAUAUUUUAGAUAUUUCUCAAGAGUUCACCUGUAUGUAUUUCUCACAUAUAACCCAUGCUGGGUUACAUGGUGAAAUGGUCUUUAACUUAGGAUGAAACUUCCUAUCUGAAUUGCUACAGCACUUCCUCUAGGUAGGAAGGUUAAUGUGAAUGGGAAUUUCAUAAGACUGUAGAAUAAUAUAUAUAUAUAUACGUUUUGUUAACACACAUAUUUUGAGAAUUAAAAUAAGAAAAAUGAACCUAAAUUUAGAAAGUCUGAUUUUUUCCAACCUUUUAAUCCUCAUUGGAGGCCAUUCUUUUUUAAUUUAUGCACAUAAAAUACCACAGGAAGAGAUGGUAUAAAUUUGUGGACUGUGGAGAAUGAGUGAACAUUUUUGAAUCAGGAUCUUUAAAAGGGGUGAAAUUUGAGUAUGAUUAAGUUAGGAAAAAGCCUCGCUUACGGCGGAAGUCAGAGACUCUGUAUACGUUAUGGGCAUGUCAUGGCUUUUAAAAAGUUAUGUUAGACUUCUAUACAAAUUGUGAAGGAAUUUGUAUAACCCCAAACAAAAUUCUGUGUGGUUCUGAACUUUUCCUAAGUUGAAAAGAGAGAGAGAGAGUGAGAAAGAAAUAUUGCUGGUUAGUAUUCUGAUCAGGGACAAACCUUACUGUCAGGUGGGCUAGUCGUUUGCACUGUCUGGGUGUUUUCUUGGUUACUAAUUUUCUCGGAAGGAAAUGAUCCUAUGGCUUAUGCUAGCCAUGUUUGUGCAUAUAUGCUCUGCAAUUGGCAUUUAUUAAGGAGACCUUCAGUUUGAUGGAUGACUGUCAAGAGCUGAGCUUGCUGGCUUUAAAGACAGUUGAUUUUGCUUGAAUUUUGUUAUAUUAACUCAUUAGAACUCUGCAUUGCUUCAACUUACUCUUUGUUUACUUUCUUACAAUUAAAAUUUUAGAACAAUUGAUUUUUAGAGACUUGGCAGGAGCCCAUUUUACACUUGGAGACUUAGUCUGACAGAAAAAUAUGCACCAGAACAAAUAUUCAUAAUAAAAGCAUGACCAACUGCUCCUAUCACCAGCUUACCCUUGGGUACUAUUAAGGAGGAUUAUAUCAUUUGAGAUCUAGAGAAAGAGCCUCCUAAGAAGAAAGAACAGAAAUGCUAAAACCUUAUAUCACAAGCAAGUUUGAGAUUUUUAAGGAAUUGAGAUAAGGCCAUUAUUGUAGCUAGAGCAUAGAGGUGAGGGUGCAUGGUAGGACGUAAAGUGGGAAGGACUGCCUUUAUAGUAGUGCCUUUUAUCUAGGCCAACCACAGGAUUAAUGGUUCAAACUGUGGCACUUCUGAGAGUGAAAGAGACCAGUUUUAA